GCAUAUCAAUAAGCGGAGGAAAAGAAACUAACAAGGAUUCCCCUAGUAACGGCGAGUGAAGAGGGAAGAGCCCAAGAUUGAAAGCUGGCGUCUUCGGCGUCCGCAUUGUAAUCUCAAGAAGUGUUUUCCGCUUCGGACCAUGCCUAAGUCCCUUGGAAAAGGGCAUCAUAGAGGGUGAUAAUCCCGUACAUGGCAUGGAGCGCCCGAAGCUUUGUGAUACGCUUUCUAAGAGUCGAGUUGUUUGGGAAUGCAGCUCAAAAUGGGUGGUAAAUGCCAUCUAAGGCUAAAUAUUGGGGAGAGACCGAUAGCGAACAAGUACAGUGAUGGAAAGAUGAAAAGAACUUUGAAAAGAGAGUUAAACAGUACGUGAAAUUGCCAAAAGGGAAGGGUAGGAGGUCAGAGAUGCGUUCUGGGAUUCAGCCUUGCUUUUGCUUGGUGUUUUUCCCAGUUUGCAGGCCAACGUCGGUUUUGGGCGCUGGAGAAGGGUGGAAGGAAUGUGGCACCCCUCGGGGUGUGUUAUAGCCUUCUACUGGAUACAGUGACCGAGACCGAGGACAGCAGCGUACUCGCAAGAGCGGGCCUUCGGGCACCUUUACGCUUAGGGCGUUGGCAUAAUGGCCCUCUACCACCCGUCUUGAAACGGACC
rnacentral:rRNA from 1 species